rnacentral:rRNA from 1 species
CCUACGGGUGGCAGCAGUGGGGAAUCUUGCGCAAUGCGCGAAAGCGUGACGCAGCAACGCCGCGUGCGGGAAGACGGCCUUCGGGUUGUAAACCGCUUUCAGUUGGGACGAAGCUUCGCCGGUGAAUAGCCGGCUGGAGUGACGGUACCUUCACAAGAAGCCCCGGCUAACUACGUGCCAGCAGCCGCGGUAAUACGUAGGGGGCAAGCGUUGUCCGGAAUCAUUGGGCGUAAAGCGCGUGUAGGCGGCUUCGUAAGUCCGUUGUGAAAGUCCAGGGCUCAACCCUGGAAUGCCGAUGGAUACUGCGGAGCUAGAGUCCGGAAGAGGCGAGUGGAAUUCCUGGUGUAGCGGUGAAAUGCGCAGAUAUCAGGAGGAACACCAAUGGCGAAGGCAGCUCGCUGGGACGGUACUGACGCUGAGACGCGAAAGCGUGGGGAGCAAACAGGAUUAGAUACCCCUGUAGUC